UACGGGGGGGGCAAGCGUUGUUCGGAAUUACUGGGCGUAAAGAGCGUGUAGGCGGCCAGAAAAGUCCGCUGUGAAAACUCGAGGCUCAACUUCGAGCUGUCGGUGGAAACUUUCUGGCUAGAGUCCGGAAGAGGAGAAUGGAAUUCCUGGUGUAGCGGUGAAAUGCGCAGAUAUCAGGAAGAACACCCGUGGCGAAGGCGGUUCUCUGGGACGGUACUGACGCUGAGACGCGAAAGCGUGGGGAGCGAACAGG
rnacentral:rRNA from 1 species